rnacentral:lncRNA from 1 species
UGAAUUAAAGUUAUGCAUUUGGUUGGAGGGAUAUCCCAGAACAAGGCGGGAUAUCCCUCUUUAUCCCCCCAAAUACAAUGUAAAAUGGAACAAGGUGGUUGUUCCGGGCUUAACGGGUUGUUCGGGAAACUACCCGUUAAGCUUGUUCUCGAUCCCUUCCAUGGAGAACAAGCUGGAACAAUUGUAACUAGACAUGCAAUUGUAACUAGACAUCCAAACUUGUAAAUUUGUGUUUGGAUGCAUUCGAGGAUAUUUUAGAGGAUAUCCUUAGUAGCGUUUGGAUAAAAAGUCUAGAACAACGUCUAAAUAUAUUUUUAAAAAUAAAAUAAUUAAUUUAUAUUAGUAUAUUUUAUAUAAAGUUAUUUCAUAUAAAAUAAUGAACUUAACAAUGAAUUAAUUUGUUUUUUGGUAUUUGAAUUUAAAAUUUGAGGAUAUUUAAUAACAUCCUGCCCAUUUUCCACGUUCAAAUUCAUAAGCAACUAAUAAAUGAACUAAAGUUAAUUGGGAUUUAACAUAGAGAGUCCGGCUACCAUACUUUUAUGAGUAUUGGCUUUCUUAUACUCAUAAAUCUUUGGUCUUUAGAUUUAUUCAAUUGAUCAUUUCCACCCGUUUGAUCAUAUUAUUAAACCAACUAACAAUAAUAAUUCGUUGGGCCCAAACCACCGGCCCAAAAUGCUUAAGCCCAGUUAUUAUUAUUAGUGUGUCCGUUACUUAUAAACAUAUCCGAUUAUCCCACAUUAUCCGAUGUGGGAUUAUUUGAAUGUCACAUACUCUCCUCGUUUAGGUCUUAACGUCCUCGUCAGCCCGACCCAAUUAUAUAUAUAGUUCCAGAUUCACCAGGUGAUAUGAGAUCUAUCUCAUACUUCCGGCUGGUUAUCAGGCUCUGAUAUUUAUAUUUACACACCA